rnacentral:pre_miRNA from 1 species
AUCACCCAGGUAUCAUGUUAAAAUGCAGAUUCUGAUUCCAUAGAUCCAGGGCAGGACUUGAGAUUCUGUAUGUCUAACAAGCUCCCAGGUGAUGCUGA